rnacentral:rRNA from 1 species
CCUUAAGUAAUUGCGAAUGAACAAGGAACUGCUCAGCUUGAAAAUUGGGGCCUUCGGCCUUGAAUUGUAAUUUUGAAAUGUAUUGCCAAUGGAGGCGCAGGUGCAAGCCUAUUGAAAGAAAGCGUCAAUGAGGGUGAGAUUCCUUUUUGUCAUUUGCAGUCCUCCGUGCACGGUAUAUAUUUGACGAGUCACACUCCUUGGCAUUGGAAUGCAAAGUGGGUGGUAAAUUCCAUGUAAAGGAAAAUAUAUUAUUGAGACUGAUAGCAAACAAGUACCAUGAGGGAAAUAUGAAAAGGACUUUGAAAAGAGAAUUAAAAGAGUCUGCAUUUGCUGAACAGAAAGCAAACAGAAUUGAUCUACUUGGUGAGAUUGUUGCGUCCACUUGUGGGUGCAAUGGUUCUUGCCUUGAAUGUCAGCGUCUAUUUCUGCAAAUUAUUACCCUUGCAUAUGAAUUGUAAUUUGCCUGUGGGCAUUGGAAUGCAUGUGUUUGCAAUGAUUUGUGAUUUGAUACAUGUGUCUGGUGUUCGCGUGUGUGCCUUCUUGCUAACACGGGGAGGGCUCUCCUCCCUGGGCACUGCAUG